ACUCGGCUCCCUACAAGACUUUUGGAGGUCUUAAAAGGGCUCCCUGUGAAAGCAGGAAAACAAGAGUUAGAAAAUGAACUCAGAGUUGGCAGUGAUGGCUUGGAAGAUGUACUUACAUUUGCUUAUAUGCCAGCAUUGUCAGCAAGUGUUUUAUAGUUAUUUAGAAGAGAAAUCCAAGCUCUUCUGAUUUGUUUUGCAGAUGGUUUUCUAUAAACUACAUUUUUAUCAAGUCUGCAUGUGAACAAUGUUUUAAAGGCUCUACAAUAAGGUUCACAUAGGGUGUAUUUAAGAAACUGGCAACCAGAGUAAAGAAGAAGCAGGGGAAGCACCGGGGGAGGAAACAAAGAACGAGAAGGAGGAGGAGAACGGGUAAGAAGAAUAAGAAGAGAAGAAGAAAAGAAAAGUCUGAUACUGGAGAUGCUCGUGAACAACCUGAGUUCAAUAUGCUUAGAUUGUGAGUAACUUGUGCAAAUGUUUUGUAAGACAAGCAAGCAUUUCUAAUAAAUUUUAACUUUAUAAA